rnacentral:lncRNA from 1 species
AGUGCAGUGGCACGAUCUCGGCUCACUGCAACCUUCGCCUCCUAGGUUCAAAUGAUUCUCCUGCUUCAGCCUCCCGAGUAGCUGGGCCUACAGGUGCAUGCCACCAUGCCAGACUAAUUUUAUGUAUUUUUAGUAGAGACGGGGUUUCACCAUGUUAGCCAGGAUGGUCUCGAUCUCCUGACCUCGUGAUCCGCCCGCCUUGGCCUCUCAAAGUGUUGGGAUUACAGGCGUGAGCUACUGCGCCCGACCUCCUUCUUUACUCUUAAUUCUCAUAACAACUCUUUGUAUUUAUCUUAUGCAUAUUAUAUUCUGCCUUGCACUGUUGUAUACUUUUCUUACUAUACUGUAAGCACCUUGAGAACACAGAUAAAUUCAUAUGCAUAUUUUCUCUUUUUCCUUCCUCUAGAAACCUUUAUAAGAAGUACUGCAUCUUGAAUGUAAUUGGUGCUCAACAAUAUGCAUACAAGGCAGGAGUAAAAGAAUGAAAAAAUAAAUUCCUGUUAGAAAAGCUUUUGUUCUGGAUAUCACUGUUUGCCCUCCAAGUUCCAUCACAUUGCUCCGAACCAUGAGAAGCAGACCUCUGUGGAAUCCAUCAACCAGCCAUGCCCCUUGGCCUCCAGCUGGUGUGGCCAAUGGGAAGCACCACAAGAAAUAUGAAGAUAAGAAAAAAAGUGUAGAGGUAUUUAUUUUUCCUUCUCCAUCUGAGCCAAGUCAUGAGUUGGCCCAACUGUAUUCUUCCCCAGAAGGCCACAGGUAUCUGGUAUCUGGCUCCGUUUCUUUGCUCCUUCAAGCCAUGGGUGAUAACUUUGGAUGUUUCACUGUCUGUUUUCCUUAACUCUGUCCUGUUAUUAAACUCUCUGAAAUAACCCCUUUUGAAUAUGCCAUCUAUGACUCAUACACAACUGAUGACCCAUAAAGGACAUUGGAAAUGAAUUGCUUCACAUAAGAGGUCAUUCUGAUAAUGCAAACAGGACACAGCAUCUUAGAGGACUGUUUAUAUAAUUGUGAUUUGAUUUUACCUUUAUUCUCAGGUCAGAAGACAGCCUACUGUGACACGUAAGUGUCUACUCUGAUUUGCAUAGAAGUUUAAAAUAAGCAUCUUAAUGAUUUGAGAACAUUCACUAAUUGCUAACACUAUUAAUAUAUUUCCUUGUUUUAUAGCCCAAGAGCCAUUUAUAUAUUAUCUCAUCUUAAAACAUUCCAUCAGUUAUUUUUCUGCUUACACAUAGAAUUUCUAAAUCAAAGAUCUGAAACACCAAUUUUCACACCAUUCUCCAAGGGACCUAGAUUCCUAAUAUGCUUUGCAGACAUUGCUGACCAACUUCUAACAUUGGUUCCCCGAAUUCUGGAAGGACGGCAUGCAGCCUAGGUGUCUGUGUCUCUCACAGUCACAGAUUUGUCAGCUUUCAAGAUCCCAAUUCAUGCGAAUCUAACCCAUUCCUUGGCUGACUAAGUCAUGGGUUUGACACUGGGGAGAUAAAGCAAUUCUGGGGGGGAGAUGAGUUUCUGAAUUUGUUUUAAAUGUAGGAUUUGUAUCAAAUUGUAUUGCUGAUUAAAGGAAAUUUAUAGUUCUUGUUCACAUAUUCAGUCUACUUGGUUUGAAACUAUUUUGAUGUUUUCACUCUUCAGAUAUUAAGGAAAGGACAGACUAGCUACACAGAGUUAACGGAUAAAGGUAAAAACACACCAUAAAAUCUGCAGAGCAAGAAAACACCUAAACUUCAGUCCCUGAAAAACAGAAUAUAGUUCUUAAUUUUCUUUAAAACUUUUCAAAGUUUCUCCUGAAGUCUGCCUAUAGCCAGGCAUCAAAUACACACUUACACUUAUAUAUACAAAUGUACAUCCAUUUAUGUUUGUGCUAAUAAAGGUAUGUUUUACAUAUGCGAAUAUAUGUGGAGACAGACAGGAAAAUAAAUAGGCAGAUGAUAGAUAUUCUCUCACUCACACAUGUUAAUUUUCAGAUAAUUCCCUCUAGACCAGGGAUUUUCAUGGAGCAAAGCAUUUGUCCUGCUGAUGGGGCUGCCUUGGUCUACACUGACAUAUGCGAUGAGCAAAGGACAGUGGCUUUUUUAAUGUAGAAGCCACAAGAGAAUAUGUCAUCUGAUGUGCAAAUUACCUCUCCAGAAGUAUGAUUACUUACAGGCGAGUCCUAAAACACAUGCCCUCUGCCGAUAGCACACCAAAUACAGCCAACCACGGUGCAACUUUGGACACAGAAGGCCUUGCAAUGUUGUAAGUCCCUGUUUCCUACUCAGGCCCAGUAGUCACUCACAUGAGAGAGAGAUUAAAAAAAUGUCCUAAAUCAUCUUCUGCCUUUAUCAAACCAUGGUCUGUGGAGAAGAACUAGGAGAACCCUACUCCACACAGAGAAAAUGAAUGCCAUAUUAUCGGACACCAGGAAAAAGGGCAGGAAUUGAGAUAAAGAUGAUGUUAUUGCCACAUACAGUACAAAUGUAAUUAUUCUGUAUGGAGGAAGGAU